rnacentral:rRNA from 4 species
CAACUUUCAACAACGGAUCUCUUGGCUCUCGCAUCGAUGAAGAACGCAGCGAAAUGCGAUAAGUAAUGUGAAUUGCAGAAUUCAGUGAAUCAUCGAAUCUUUGAACGCAAAUUGCGCCCUUUGGUAUUCCGAAGGGCAUGCCUGUUUGAGUGUCA